rnacentral:tRNA from 1 species
AGGAAUAUAGCAUAGCGGUAGAGUGUCACCAUGAUGUGGUAAAGUCAUUAGUUUGAGCCUGAUUCUUCCUA